CCGACCAAUCGCACCAGCAUCUCCAAGGCACGUGGGAACGCAUCCGACGGCCGAGAUCGGGGAUGAGAGGCGACGUCGGCGUCACGGAGUCAAAGGGCACGAGACUUUGUCGCAUCCCCGUCCGAAAGAAUAAAACGGAAUUCGCGCAUUAAAUCCGAAAUGGCGCCGGUUCGGAAGAAUCCGUUUCCCAGGGAAGAAUCCGUUUCCCCUUCCGGCGAGCGGUAACCGCGGUUAAGUUCUGGGAAGCCUGCAAGUCAAUUGAGUUCAGUGGCCGCUCUGCGCUGCCCGCUGCGGAACUGCGUCUCAGUUUCGUACUUGUCGUCUCAGUGAUUAGAGCGGAAGUCCGGAAAACGACGAGAGCCCGAGGGCACGUCGGGACGAAAAGGAGCGGACGGCGAGGUCGACUUACAGGCCUGCUUCCCUAACGGGACAUGGGGGGAAAAGUAAGCAG
rnacentral:lncRNA from 1 species